CUCAGUUUAUUGAGGUGUCUAGCAAUCAAUAAAACUGGGUUGCUGGAAACAGAGAAUUUAAGAAAUUACAACACCAAGGAAGAAAUCUCUGCAACCCUGGGUACAUGACAGAGUCUUAGAACUAUGCCUAUCUUUUAGAUGUCCCUAAUUCAUAGACCAAUUUUCUUACCCAUAUAAAACAAAAGGAUUGGCAUAAAGCUGUAUUUUAAGUAGAAGUAGGAGUAGAAGAGAUGAAAACCUUCGUUUUAUCGGUAAGACUUGGUUAGAAGUGAGAGACAUAAUGAUCAGGUCCUUCCUUUACUGGAGAGGGUAAAGAACAGAAAGUAACCUAAAGUGGUUUUGGUGGUCUGGAAGAGAGGCUCAGUCAAAAACUUCUAGUCUCUGAUGACCAAAAGCCUUUUCCAGUGACUGAAGGAGGCAUUUUACCUGCCUAACCUUUGCACUGAUAAUACAUACCGGCCAUAAGUAUUAAUAAAUCACACAGAAGUUAAAAGUUGCCAGAUAUCCUAAGAAAGAACUGGCGGAAUAUUCUCAGAAUCUGGUUUUAGUGCCAGCUGCAGCAGCACCAGCUAGGAAUUUCUUAGAACUGCUGUGGACGGACACAGGUGAUUGCGCAUGCGCAGCCCUUGCAGACAAUAAUGGCGGACACUACACGGUGCUCCUCUGGGCGGCCCUCCAGAGCUCAGGGACAGAGGAACUCAGCUGGAAGUAAACAGUCUUAGCUCCAUACUUAGAAGAAUGGUCCCAAGACCUGUCUCUUUCCUUCAGUUCCUUUUCUUUGCAUGAAAAAUAAAUCCUUUCCGGCUGAUGUCUCUACUCAAUACUUCAUCUUAAACCUGGACAGCAAUCAUUUCUUUUGUUUUUUGGUACUGGGGAUCAAACUCUGGUCCUUGCACUUGCGAGGCAGGCGGCAGAACCACUGAGCUAAAUCCCCAACCAAUCAUUUCCUUUUGUCUCUCUUGAUCUACCACUCUGUCAAGCCUCUGGAUUUUAUUUUAUAUUUUAUAUUUUAUACCUGCCCCAAUGUAAUUUGUCUAAUGGUAUAUCAAACUCAACGCUUAAAAUAAUAAUUUCACAAUAAACUGUAAUUUCUAUUUAGACCUAUUAAAUGACUCAGUCUUUUAUUUAUUUUGGCUCAUAAGAUUAAAGAUGUAAAAGCAGAAACCAAUAUUCAUACUGAUUAUUCAAUAGGUUUCACAGAUUUGAGAUUUGAGGGGAUGUUUUCAAGAGGGGAAAUGUUAAAAAUGACAAUUCUUCAAGCUAGUACAUAAUAUAGGUGAAACAUACUACAAAUAUCAAAAAAGGUUAUUUUUA
rnacentral:lncRNA from 1 species